rnacentral:rRNA from 1 species
GGAUGAACGCCAGCGGCAGGCUUAACACAUGCAUGUCGAGGGGUAACGAUCCCGCUUCGGUGGGAGGCGACGACCGGCAAAUGGGUGAGUAAUACAUAUGCAACUUGCCCGUAGCUGGAGGAUAGCUUCCGGAAACGGAAAUUGACACUCCAUAAUAUCCUAAUAUCGCAUGUUAUAAGGAUUAAAGUUUCGACGGCUACGGAUGGGCAUAUGUCCCAUUAGCUUGUUGGUGAGGUAACGGCUCACCAAGGCUACGAUGGGUAGGGGGCCUGAGAGGGUGAUCCCCCACACUGGUACUGAGACACGGACCAGACUCCUACGGGAGGCAGCAGUGAGGAAUAUUGGUCAAUGGGCGAAAGCCUGAACCAGCCAUGCCGCGUGCAGGAUGACUGUCCUAUGGAUUGUAAACUGCUUUUCUGCAGGAAGAAACGCUUCUACGUGUAGAGGUUUGACGGUACUGCAGGAAUAAGCAUCGGCUAACUCCGUGCCAGCAGCCGCGGUAAUACGGAGGAUGCAAGCGUUAUCCGGAUUCAUUGGGUUUAAAGGGUGCGUAGGCGGAUUGGUAAGUCAAAGGUGAAAGUCUGUAGCUUAACUAUAGAAGUGCCUUUGAUACUGCUAGUCUUGAGUACAGUUGAGGCGAGUGGAAUGUGUAGUGUAGCGGUGAAAUGCAUAGAUACUACACAGAACACCAAUUGUGAAGACAGCUCGCUAAGCUGCUACUGACGCUCAGGCACGAAAGCGUGGGGAGCGAACAGGAUUAGAUACCCUGGUAGUCCACGCUGUAAACUAUGAUCACUAGCUGUUGGCGAUAAAUUGUCAGUGGCUGAGCGAAAGCGUUAAGUGAUCCACCUGGGGAGUACGAUCGCAAGGUUGAAACUCAAAGGAAUUGACGGGGGCCCGCACAAGCGGUGGAACAUGUGGUUUAAUUCGAUGAUACGCGAGGAACCUUACCUGGGCUUAAAUGUAGAACGACGUCCUGAGAAAUCGGGAUUCCAUUCGGGCAGGACUACAAGGUGCUGCAUGGUUGUCGUCAGCUCGUGCCGUGAGGUAUCGGGUUAAGUCCCAUAACGAG